UUGAUCUGUCCCGAAGAAAUUGAGCUAUAUUUUUGUUUUAAUUAGAAUAUUAAUGUUUCCUGUGGCAAAAGGGGAGUAAAACAAAAAUAUAGGAGUGAAAUGCUUUCAUCUUUUCUGAUAUCUGGAUUUUAGAUAAAAGUAUUUAGUACUUUAAGACAAUUUUAUAGUUUUAAGAUUAUAGAAAAAAAGAACCAUUAAUAUAAAACAGUGAUUUUAAGGGAAUAACAUCUUUUUGCUUUUUUAGUAAUAAUUUAUUUUAUUUUACGUCUUAUUUUAAAUCUCCUAAAUAUAGAUUUUUAUCCUUUAUAAUUUAUAUACAAUGUUUAAAUCAGUAAGUUAAGUUAACUUUUAAAAAGGAAUUCGGCAAACUAAAGUGGUCAACUGUUUAACAAAAACAUAGCUUAUAGAAAUUUCUUUAUAAGUAAACUCUGCCCGGUGUGAGGUGUAAACUCAUUAACGGCCGCAGUACUCUGACUGUGCUAAGGUAGCAUAAUAAAUUGGCUUUUAAUUGGAGUCUAGUAUGAAAGGGUAAUUGAUAACUAACUGUCUCUAAAAAAUUUAUCUUAAGUUAUUAAAAAGGUGAAAAUACCUUUUUACAUUUAUUAGACAAGAAGACCCUAAGAGUUUAUAUUUAAAAAUUUUGUUGGGGCGACAAAGUAACAGAAAUAUUUUAUAACUUACUCUUUACAAAUUUAACUUAUUUUAUAUACACACUACUUUUUUUAAACAUAAAGAACAAACUACCUUAGGGAUAACAGCAUAAUAUUAGUUUUAAUUUGUUUAUGACCUCGAUGUUGGAUUAGGGAAAAUCUAUACUAGACGUAAAGAUUUACUGUUCUGUUCGAACAUUACCCCCUACAUGAUCUGAGUUCAGACCGGCGUAAGCCAGGUCAGUU
rnacentral:rRNA from 1 species